rnacentral:sRNA from 1 species
AUACCUCCACCGCCAGCAGCAAUAACGAGUGUAUCAUUUUUAAUAAGUGUUUUAAUACUCUCUAAUUCAAUAAUAGAGAUGGGUUGUGGUGAAGGAACAACGCGUCUAUA